CUCCAGAACAGUGUGGGAGGUGGUACAGGGAGCUACAGGGUAAAAGGGGAAUCAGUAAAAAACCCCUUUUCCCUUUUCCUCCAGCAGGAGCCUCCACUGGAUCUCAGUCCCUUUUGUUCAUGGAAGGGCAUGGAUUAAGCAUGGGAUGCCACUGAUCUCUGGGAAGAUCUUCAGGGAGGAUGGGUUUGAAUGGCUUUUCAUGGGAAGAUCAGCAUCAAACAUUCUGCAGCCCAACCUAGCCAGUGGCAUUUCAAGGAUCUGGCAGAAAGAGAGUCAUACAUUGACCCCACCCCACAAUAACUUGGUGUUGCUGGACUACAACUCCCAUCAUCCCUCACCACUGGUCCUGCUGUCUGGAGCUGAUGGGAAAUGAUGGCCAACAACAUCUUGGGGCCACAGAUUCCCCAUCUCCUUCCUUGCUCCCAUUCUUCUAUGAACACCAAGACCAGAUGAAGGUUAAGAGAAGGAGGACAGCUGUGGGAAGGUGUUUCCAAGGUUAAAGCUGCACAGCAAGGUCAUCUGAAUGAUUUUGCUGGAUCAGAGCAAGCAUAUAUAGUCUACUACUCUGACAAUGUCCAGCCAAGUUUCCUAAGGAGACUCACAAGGAGGAUCUGAUGUUGAUAGCCAUUGUCUAUUUAAUUACCAGUUACCUGGCUGAGGCAUUAUGUUGUAUAGGUUUCUUGGAAUGAGAGACAAUUCCUUAAAAAUAGGUGACCUUGGCAAGUCAUUAGCGAGGCGAUAUUCAAUUAACAGAAGAAAGUGAAUGGCCUGGUUAAAUGAAAUACACAGGGAGCCAUCUUGUGGUGGAUAUUAAACAUAUGUGAAAGCUUCCUUUGCUGGGUCAACUUGUAUUGAUGUGUGUAUUUAAAAAACAUGAUUUCCGCCCCCUCCACUCACUCUUUCAGAAACCAUUUCUAGAGUACGUUAAAUUAUUUUGUUCUGGCUUUGGAUAAAAAUGUCAGUUCUAAGGAGAUGUGUAUGCUUUAUUCCUCUGCCCUGUAAAUGAAGAUUAGGAGAAAAUCACAGAGGCAAGUUAAUCUAACACUUGGUCUCAUAUACACAACUGGUUUUUUACACUAGUACUAAUGGUGAUGGUAGGAUGAAACCCAAUUUGUGUCUUUUCAUGACCUAACAUGUACGACUGUUUGCAUUUUCAAAGGUGCUUGCAUAUUACCUUUGUUGAAUAAUAUAACUAGUGAUGUUAACUCCUACCAGUAUAUCUAUUUUUAUUACUAUAGGUUGUAUAUUAACAGUGUUAUAGUGCACCUAAGAGAAGUAAUAACUUCUUGAUUUACUCCUGGAACUUAAUAUACUAGCAGUGAACUCUUGGUGCUGUCCCCCUACCACUAAUGGUAUUUGAACAUGUAUAAGCACCAGGACUCAUUUGUAAGUGCUCAAUGUUAAGCUGGAAUUUGGUGAAAA